CGCGUAGGUGGUAGUGCAAGUCUGGGGUGGAAUCCCAGGGCUUAACCCUGGAACUGCCUUGGAAACUGUAUUACUUGAGUCAGUGAGGGGAGGGUAGAAUCCCUGGUGUAGCGGUGAAAUGCGUAGAUAUCAGGAGGAAGGCCUGUGGCGAAGGCGGCCCUCUGGCGCUGAACUGACACUGAGGCGCGAAAGCGUGGGCAGCAAACAGGAUUAGAUACCCUGGUAGUCCACGCCCUAAACGGUGGGUACUAGGUGUGGGGCUCGUAAGGGUUCUGUGCCGAAGCGAAAGCAUUAAGUACCCCGCCUGGGGAGUACGGCCGCAAGGUUGAA
rnacentral:rRNA from 1 species